UUAGCAAUGCAUUUUGGCUAGUGUGUAAUUUAUCGUUUAUAAACAUGAAAUAUCAAUAUUAUCCAGAUAAUGUAAGCCAGUCAAUAGUGGAUUGCACAGUGCUUGUCUCUUGAAACAAUAGAAAACCUUUUAACAGUACAUGACAUUUUCAAAACUAAUAACUGGCGACAACAAUAUAUGAAACAGCUUUUUUCAAAGUUGUUAUCAUUACACUGGUAUUGUUUUACAUGGAUAAUAUUUUGAACGAUUUAUCGAUGUAAAAACUAUGAUCAACUCAGAAAAGUAAUGGUACUAAACGAUCAACUAUUAUGACAGUGGCAUAUUAUGAUAUCCAUAUGACCUCAGAAAAAUGUAUACCUGGUAAUCGGUUGGUUAAACUAAUGGUCUUGUAUGGCGUACAAUGAUCUUUAUAAUCAAAAUACGAUGUACAAAUGGUUGUGGUAAUUAUGAAUGGUCCCAAAUUCUUCACAUGCUACAAUAGACAUUAAUCAAAUGUUUAAACAGCAAAUGGCUUGGGCACCGGGAUAUCCCGUGAUUGAAAACUUUGAAUCGCAGCUAUCGUUAAAUAAACGGGAAAAAAGAUCCUGGACCAGAAAUCUAAUUAUCAUCUACAAAUUAGCGGAAACAUUAAAUAAUUGAUAACAUCAAAAUUUACAAGAUUACAGUCUCCACGUAAGGGUUUAUCUCAUAUAAAACCUUCAUUAUUUUCACCAUAAAUGUAUCAAGCGUAAUAAAAAAUAUUACACUUUUUUUUUAUAAAUGCACGAUAUUCU